AAACUUAAAGGAAUUGACGGGGGCCCGCACAAGCGGUGGAGCACGUGGUUUAAUUCGAUGCUAACCGAAGAACCUUACCCAGACUUGACAUCCCUGGAAAACCUAGAGAUAGGUAAUACCUACUUUUGUAGGACCGGGGUGACAGGUGCUCCAGGUGUCGUCAGCUCGUCCCGUAAGGUGUUGGGUUAAGUCCCGCAACGAGCGCAACCCCGUUUUUAGUUGCCAACGGUUCGGCCGUCCACUCUAAAGAUACAGCCGACGUUAAGUCGGAGAAGGUGGGAUGACGUCAAAUCAUCAGGCCCUUAUGUCUGGGCUACACACGUGCUACAAUGACUAUACAGAGGCCAGCUAAACCGCGAGGUCAUGCGAAUCCCAAAAAGUAGUCCUUAGUUCAGAUUCCAGUCUGCAACUCGACUCCAUGAAGCUGGAAUCGCUAGUAAUCGCAAGUCAGCAAAACUGCGGUGAAUACGUUCUCGGCCCUUGUACACACCGCCCGUCACACCAUGGGAGUCGGUUUUGCCCGAAGCCGGUGUGCUAACCCUUUUGGGAGGCAGCCGUCGACGGCAGAAUUGGUGACUAGGGUGAAGUCGUAACAAGGUAAC
rnacentral:rRNA from 1 species